UACGUAGGGUGCAGGCGUUAAUCGGCAUUACUGGGCGUAAAGCGUGCGCAGGCGGUUUCUUAAGUCAGAUGUGAAAGCCCCGGGCUUAACCUGGGAAUGGCAUUUUGAACUGGCAAUCUAGAGUGUGUCAGAGGGGGGUAGAAUUCCACGUGUAGCAGUGAAAUGCGUAGAGAUGUGGAGGAAUACCGAUGGCGAAGGCAGCCCCCUGGGAUAUCACUGACGCUCAUGUACGAAAGCGUGGGUAGCAAACAGG
rnacentral:rRNA from 1 species